AUGCAUAUCGAGAAAAACAUUUGUGAAAACCUCAUUGGGACAAUUCUCAACAUGGAGGGGAAGACGAAGGACACACUUAAUUCUAGGCUUGAUCUCCAAGAUUUGAAAAUUAAAGAGGAGUUGCAUUUGAGGAAAGAUGGAAACUCAUAUGAGAUGCCUCGGGCCCGGUAUACCUUGUCUAAAGAACAAGUGGUUGCAUUUUGUCAAUUUUUACGGGAGUUAAAGUUUCCAGAUGGGUUUGCUUCCAACAUAUCCAGAUGUACAAGUGCUGAUGGAACCAAGGUCCAAGGCCUAAAAACACAUGAUUGUCACAUUCUUUUGCAAAGAAUCUUACCUGCUAGCAUGAGAGGAUUUCUGGAUAGUGAUAUAUAUGAAGCAAUAGCUGUGGGCAAGUUUUUCAGGGAGCUGUGUAGCAAAACUCUUAACAGGCAUGUGUUGGCUAAAAUGAAGAAAGAAAUCCCUAUAAUUUUGUGCAAGCUUGAGAAAAUUUUCCCUCGUGCUUUCUUUGAUGUGAUGGUGCACCUUGCCGUACAUUUACCCGAAGAGGCAUUACUCCGAGGUCCCGUACAAUAUGGGUGGAUGUACCCAGUUGAAAGGAGGUUGUAUACUUUAAAGAGGUAUGUGAGGAAUAGGGCAAGACCAGAAGGUUCAAUUGCUGAGGCAUAUAUUGCCGAUGAAUGCCUGAUAUUUUGCUCCAAGUACAUGGAUGAUUUCGAAACCAUAUCUUAUCAGAAACCAAGAAAUGUAGGUUAUUCAGAUGAAGAAGCCUAUGGUGGUGACGUUUUUGGACAUGGAGUAAAUUUUACUUCAGGAUAUGAAUAUCAAUAUGUAUAUGACAAAAAAGAAUUUGAUCAAAUGAUGUGGUAUGUGUUGAACAAUUGUGGUCAAGCUCAGAAAUAUAUCGAAAUGUUCAGAGAUGAGUUAAAAAGAAAACGGGUGCCAAACAUUGAUAAAGAGCUUCAGAAAGAAUUCUAG
rnacentral:rRNA from 1 species